UACGGAGGGUGCAAGCGUUGUCCGGAUUUAUUGGGUUUAAAGGGUGCGUAGGCGGCCUUUUAAGUCAGUGGUGAAAGCCCGCGGCUCAACCGCGGAACUGCCAUUGAUACUGGAAGGCUUGAGUACAGACGAGGUGGGCGGAAUUGAAGAUGUAGCGGUGAAAUGCUUAGAUAUCUUCAAGAACACCGAUUGCGUAGGCAGCUCACUAGGCUGUAACUGACGCUGAGGCGCGAAAGCGUGGGGAGCAAACAGG
rnacentral:rRNA from 1 species